UUGGUACGCCUCUACAUGUUACCCCUGGUGAUGAGCUUGGUGCUAGUAAUUCAUAUGGCAAUACUCCUGCUCCACACCGAUUUCUAAAGUUAGGAUCUAUGUUUCUUCUAUCGAUCUCCUUCUCUAUCCGUCUCAUCUCUGCGGAGAACUCAUAAAAUGACUCGAUUAUUUCAGCAUCACCAGACCAAAUCGAUGGCUGUUGUCGUUCACCUAGGUAUUCCUCAUCCGGUGAGUGUGUCGAUAAGGUAUCUCCCCCAGCCAUAAAUUUUGUUGCUUGUAACAGACUCGGCAAUGCUGACAGGAAAUAUUUUUGUGGAUCAGCUACGAGACUUGCAUAUUCCGUGUCAUUUUCUUCUGGGAUUAAUCUUCUCAUUAAGGGCGGUCUAUUAGGCACAUAGCCCCCAUAAGGAUA
rnacentral:misc_RNA from 1 species